rnacentral:tRNA from 1 species
UAAGACUUGUAAACUACUAGUUUACAUCUUCUGAAUGCAACUCAGACACUUUCAUUAAGCUAAAGCCUU